UGGGGAAUUUUGGACAAUGGGCGAAAGCCUGAUCCAGCAAUGCCGCGUGUGUGAAGAAGGCCUUCGGGUUGUAAAGCACUUUUGUCCGGAAAGAAAUCCUUGGCUCUAAUACAGUCGGGGGAUGACGGUACCGGAAGAAUAAGCACCGGCUAACUACGUGCCAGCAGCCGCGGUAAUACGUAGGGUGCAAGCGUUAAUCGGAAUUACUGGGCGUAAAGCGUGCGCAGGCGGUUUGCUAAGACCGAUGUGAAAUCCCCGGGCUCAACCUGGGAACUGCAUUGGUGACUGGCAGGCUAGAGUAUGGCAGAGGGGGGUAGAAUUCCACGUGUAGCAGUGAAAUACGUAGAGAUGUGGAGGAAUACCGAUGGCGAAGGCAGCCCCCUGGCCCAAUACUGACGCUCAUGCACGAAAGCGUGGGGAGCAAACAGGAUUAGAUACCCUGGUAGUCCACGCCCUAAACGAUGUCAACUAGUUGUUGGGGAUUCAUUUCCUUAGUAACGUAGCUAACGCGUGAAGUUGACCGCCUGGGGAGUAC
rnacentral:rRNA from 1 species